GACGAACGCUGGCGGCGUGCUUAACACAUGCAAGUCGAACGGAAAGGCCCUGCUUUUGUGGGGUGCUCGAGUGGCGAACGGGUGAGUAACACGUGAGUAACCUCCCCUUGACUUUGGGAUAACUUCAGGAAACUGGGGCUAAUACCGGAUAGGAGCUCCUGCUGCAUGGUGGGGGUUGGAAAGUUUCGGCGGUUGGGGAUGGGCUCGCGGCUUAUCAGCUUGUGGGUGGGGUAGUGGCUUACCAAGGCUUUGACGGGUAGCCGGCCUGAGAGGGUGACCGGCCACAUUAGGACUGAGAUACGGCCCAGACUCCUACGGGAGGCAGCAGUGGGGAAUAGUGCACAGUGGGCGGAAGCAUGAUGCAGCAACGCCGCGUGCGGGAUGACGGCCUUCGGGUUGUAAACCGCUUUCGCCUGUGACGAAGCGUGAGUGACGGUAAUGGGUAAAGAAGCACCGGCUAACUACGUG
rnacentral:rRNA from 1 species